rnacentral:rRNA from 1 species
AACGAACGCUGGCGGCAGGCUUAACACAUGCAAGUCGAACGGCAGCACGGGAGCAAUCCUGGUGGCGAGUGGCGAACGGGUGAGUAAUAUAUCGGAACGUGCCCAGUCGUGGGGGAUAACGUAGCGAAAGCUACGCUAAUACCGCAUACGAUCUACGGAUGAAAGCGGGGGAUCGCAAGACCUCGCGCGAUUGGAGCGGCCGAUAUCAGAUUAGGUAGUUGGUGAGGUAAAGGCUCACCAAGCCGACGAUCUGUAGCUGGUCUGAGAGGACGACCAGCCACACUGGGACUGAGACACGGCCCAGACUCCUACGGGAGGCAGCAGUGGGGAAUUUUGGACAAUGGGCGCAAGCCUGAUCCAGCAAUGCCGCGUGCAGGAUGAAGGCCU